AGUAAACGCUGGCGGCAGGCCUAAAACAUGCAAGUCGAACGGGUGUAGCAAUACAUCAGUGGCGCACGGGUGAGUAACGCGUGGGAACGUGCCCUUCAGUACGGGACAACGUCGGGAAACUGACGCUAAUACCGUAUAAUAUCUCGGGAUCAAAGAUUUAUCGCUGAGGGAGCGGCCGGCGUCGGAUUAGCUAGUUGGUGGGGUAAUGGCCUACCAAGGCUACGAGCAGUAGCUGGUCUGAGAGGAUGAUCAGCCACACUGGGACGGGGACACGGCCCAGACUCCUACGGGAGGCAGCAGUGAGGAAUAUUGGACAAUGGGCGAAAGCCUGAGCCAGCCAUGCCGCGUGUGUGAUGAAGGCCCUAGGGUUGUAAAGCACUUUCGUUGGGGAUGAUAAUGACCGUACCCAAAGAAGAAGCCACGGCUAAAUUCGUGCCAGCAGCCGCCGUAA
rnacentral:rRNA from 1 species